rnacentral:rRNA from 1 species
GAUGAACGCUGGCGGCGUGCCUAAUACAUGCAAGUCGAGCGAACAGACGAGGAGCUUGCUCCUCUGACGUUAGCGGCGGACGGGUGAGUAACACGUGGAUAACCUACCUAUAAGACUGGGAUAACUUCGGGAAACCGGAGCUAAUACCGGAUAACAUGUUGAACCGCAUGGUUCAACAGUGAAAGACGGUCUUGCUGUCACUUAUAGAUGGAUCCGCGCCGCAUUAGCUAGUUGGUAAGGUAACGGCUUACCAAGGCAACGAUGCGUAGCCGACCUGAGAGGGUGAUCGGCCACACUGGAACUGAGACACGGUCCAGACUCCUACGGGAGGCAGCAGUAGGGAAUCUUCCGCAAUGGGCGAAAGCCUGACGGAGCAACGCCGCGUGAGUGAAGAAGGUCUUCGGAUCGUAAAACUCUGUUAUUAGGGAAGAACAAAUGUGUAAGUAACUAUGCGCGUCUUGACGGUACCUAAUCAGAAAGCCACGGCUAACUACGU